CUUGCCCUCCCUCUAGCCCAACCAACUCACACCCCCACAUAAAGAAUCAACUUUUUUCCCCAACUAAAACAUUAUACCCGUCAUAGUAUAGGCGAUAGAAAAGACUCCUGGCGCAAUAGAGGCCAACCGUACCGCAAGGGAAAGAUGAAAUAACAAUGAAAACCUCUAAGCAAAAAAUAGUAAAGACCAACCCUUGUACCUCUUGCAUCAUGAUUUAGCAAGAACAACCAAGCAAAGUGAGCUAAAGUUUGCCAUCCCGAAACCCAAGCGAGCUACUUGCGAGCAGCUAGAAUUGAGCAAACCCGUCUCUGUUGCAAAAGAGUGGGACGACUCGCUAGUAGAGGUGAAAAGCCUACCGAGCUGGGUGAUAGCUGGUUACCUGUUAAACGAAUUUAAGUUCCCCCUUAACCUACUCCCUAAAGACACUUACCCGACCUUAUGACAUGUUGGGGUUAAGACCAAUUCGAUGGGGGUACAGCCCCAUCGAAAAAGAAUACAACCUCCUCCAGCGGAUAAUAACCACUUUUCCUACAAUGUGGGCCUUCAAGCAGCCAUCAACAAAAGAGUGCGUCAAAGCUCCCCCACUAAAAAUCUUUAACCCAAAUUGACUCCCUCAAUCAAAGCAGGUUAACCUAUGACAAUGGAAGAAUUAAUGCUAAAAUGAGUAACCUGGAAUCCUCCUCUACGGCGUAAACUUACAUCAACAUAUUAUUAACAGUACUCGACCUAUACCCAUACCCCAACAAGCUAUAUAUAUAAACCAAACUGUUAAACCAACCCAGGAACGCCUACAAGACGAUUAAAACCCACAGAAGGAACUCGGCAAACUAAAGACCCGACUGUUUCCCAAAAACAUAGCCUUCAGCCAACAACAAGUAUUGAAGGUGACGCCUGCCCAGUGACCCCAACGUUCAACGGCCGCGGUAUCCUAACCGUGCGAAGGUAGCGCAAUCAAUUGUCUCAUAAAUCGAGACCUGUAUGAAUGGCUAAACGAGGUCUUAACUGUCUCCUGCGGGUAAUCAGUGAAAUUAGUAUCCUUGUGCAAAAACAAGAAUGUGACCAUAAGACGAGAAGACCCUGUGGAACUUUAAAAUCACGACCACCUUCCUACCCACCCCACCCCACUGGAUUCACCCAUACAAAGCCCUUGGUCGACAUUUUUCGGUUGGGGCGACCUUGGAGAAAAGAAAAUCCUCCAAACAUAAAGACCACAACUCUUUACCAAGACCAACACCUCAAAGUACUAAUAGUAAUUUAGACCCAAUACAAUUGAUCAAUGGACCAAGCUACCCCAGGGAUAACAGCGCAAUCUCCUCCAAGAGCCCAUAUCGACAAGGAGGUUUACGACCUCGAUGUUGGAUCAGGACAACCUAAUGGUGCAGCCGCUAUUAAGGGUUCGUUUGUUCAACGAUUAACAGUCCUACGUGAUCUGAGUUCAGACCGGAGCAAUCCAGGUCGGUUUCUAUCUAUGAACAUACUCCUCCUAGUACGAAAGGACCGGAGAAGUAGGGCCAAUACUACAAGCACGCCCUAAUCUUCUAAGCAAUGAACUCAACUCAAUUGCCAAGAAACCCCCAUCCACACCUAAUUCCUAGAAAAGGAUCCA
rnacentral:rRNA from 1 species